UGUGACGUCAUAAUGCAGCAUCGUGCUCCUGCAUCUGUUGUGAUUCGGCUGAAGAAAGACUGUCCAAUCACAGAAAAACUCCCGAGAUCCACACACUGUUAUGAAGAUGGCGUUUAUUAAAGAGGAGAUUGAAGACGUGAAGAUUGAAGAAACAUUGAGAGUCAAACAUGAAGAUACUGAGGAACAAACAGACCUCAUGGCGCUGAAAGAGGAGCGCAUAGUACCAAAUGUAAAGGAAGAGAAAGAACAAUAUGAGACUCAUCAUGAUUUUAAAACCGUAAGCCACAGAUUAAAGAGACUUUCUCACAGAAAGCGGCUCAUAAAACAGGAACUACGAGUUAUGUUCACUCUGAAAAGAGUUUCAAUGAACACGGAACCCCUAAAAGUCUUAAAGUCCACAGGAGAAUUCAUACUAGAAAGAAGUCUUUCACAUGCCAACAGUGUGGAAAAAGAUUUACUCAAAAAGUAAACCUUAACAGGCACAUACAAAUUCACUCUGGAGAGAAGCCUUACACCUGCAAACAGUGUGGAAAGAGUUUCAAUAGAAAAGAAGACCUUAACAGGCACAUGAGUAUUCACACUGGAGAGAAGCCCUUCACCUGCCAACAGUGUGGAUUCAGUUUCACACAUAAAGGAAACCUUAACAGACACAUGAGAGUACACACACUAGACAAGGCUUACACUUGCAAACUGUGUGGAAAGGGUUACGAUCAAUAUGUAAACUUUUACAGGCAUAUGAGAGUUCACACUGGAGAGAAGCCUUGCAUCUGCAAACAUUGCGGACUUCUAUUCAAUAGAAAAGUAAACCUUAAAGACCACAUGAAAGUUCACACUAGAGAGAACUGCCAACUGUGUGGAAGGAUCAUUCAUAAAGGAUUCCUUAGUAGACACAUGAGAACUCACACUGAAGAAAAGUGUUACGUGUGCCAUCAGUGUGGAAGAAGUUUUAACCGAAAAGGAAACCUUAACAAACAUAUGACAAUUCACACUAGAGAAAAACUUUAUACAUGAACUCCGUAGUGUUGCCACUGUACCAAGAUUUCAGUAUUUAGUAAAAAAUACCACUGAAAAUCCUUGGUUCUCUGUACCAAUUUUGGUACCAAAGCUAAAUGCAAAAACAAAUGAUUUACAUAUGAUUACAUAUAUUAAGUGUAUAUCAAAUAGAUGGAAUGUGAAGUAUUAAAAACACUUUACAAUAAGAUUUCUUCUGUUAGAUACCAUGACCUAUAAGUAAAUAAUAGUAAGAUGGCAUUUAUUCUUCUUAUGGUUCAUUUCAAAAUGUACUAAUACGUAAAUCAAGUUCAAUCAGUUAAAAUUAUUGAAUGCACAAUGAACAAACAUGAAUGAUCAAGUUCAGAAAUAUUACUGAAUGUCGUAAAAAUACAUUGUUCACUCAUUGUAAGAUAGAUGUUCGUCCAGAGUCUCGUCACGUCUCAGCUGUUUGUUCAUAGUCAGGUCACUUCCUGUCAGCUGCACCUAGAUCACCCAGACUGGUAUCCCGAAAACCCACUUACUCUAGCUCUCCUGUUCCUGAACUAUUUCUCCUGUCUGUAGUGCUUCCCACAAUGGGAAUUGCUUUAUGGAGUGUAUGGGCUACACCACUGAGACUCGUGAGACAGCAGCACCUACUACGAUGUUUCCAGAGGUGGCAGGUAAUGCUGCAGAAACUUCCAAGGUAAUGGCUCACGCUGUCUUGUCCUCAGAGGAGAUUGCGCCCGCUGCAGUUUCUCCAGAGAUGGCAGCUCAUGCUGCUUGUACCUUCUGAGGUAGCGAUGCCAGCUUCAGCUUCUUGUACGGUGGUGGCACCCAUUAUUGAACUCUCCCUGUUUUCUUAUGAUACUGCUGUAGAACCUCCAGAGCUGUCAGUUGUACCCUUCUGUGAUUUCUCUGCCUGCCCUGUCACGGCCAUGGAGGCCGUCCAUGAACUCAUGGCCUGUUCUUUCAGAAAUAUCACAUUAUUGGGGUCAUUUUUCAACCCGCGGCAACAGUGUUAAAGUAGCCCACUUGGUAACAAUGGAGAGGAAACUUGAUACCACCAGUACUUAAGAAAACCUGGUACAUUAACAUUAGAAUCUUUUAGUACCAACUUGGUACCGAAAUACUGGGUCUUUUCGAUCUACAAGGAAGGUCUGAAGCCCACAUGAGAGUUCACAAUGGAGAGAAGCUCUUCACCUGCCAACAGAGUGGAAAAAGUUUUACUCGAAAAUCACAACAUAACUUUCCCAUGAGAAAAUUACACAGCAUAUUUUCAACACAAUCUUGAUCAACUGUUUUAUGUCAUCAGUGUGGAAGGAGUUUCACAGACAGGAAUCAUGUAAUAAUGUUAUGAUGUGUAGGAAGCUCAGGGUCUGUUUGUAAUAUCUUUUCAUUGUGUGUUUUUCUGAAUAGUGGAGUUCUGUGUAUUUAUUUAAAGAUGUCAUCUGUUACGGCUCUCACUGACUGACUGCACUGCUGCCUGAUAGCACGGGGCUUGUUACUUGAUCAUGUUCUCGCUGAAAAUCUGACCCUUACUGUGAUUUUUUUGUCUACUCCCGCAAACAUUCUAAUAAUGUAUAUAAUUUACACUGCUGUUCAUCACAAAACUGGACUGUAUAUAGUCUUUUAUAUGUUUUAGGUAUACAUCACAAAUGACCAGAGAUGGGUAUAAUUUGUUACACAGUGACUUACUGUAUUCUAAUUACUUCACCUGGUUUACGAAGUAAUGCGUUAAAUUUUAAAUUGAUGACAUUUUUUUUAAGCAUCCAUUCAGCUGUUUUGUUAUACCAACUAAAAUAGUUCCAACUUCCAAACAAAGAUCACAGCAGAAGUAUUGUGCAAUCUCCAAGCUCGCAGAGAUAAUUAAUUAGUUAAUUGAGUGACUCAAUGACUCACUCAUUAAAGUAACUUACCCAACACUGCAAAUUACACAUUUUACAAAUAU